GACGAACGCUGGCGGCGUGCCUAAUACAUGCGAGUCGAACGCAGCUGUUUUAACUGGUGCUUGCACCGACUUAAACAACUGAGUGGCGAACGGGUGAGUAACACGUGGGUAACCUGCCCCAAAGCGGGGGAUAACAUUUGGAAACAGAUGCUAAUACCGCACAACAACAGAAACCACAUGGUUUCUGUGUCAAAGAUGGUUUCGGCUAUCACUUUGGGAUGGACCCGCGGCGUAUUAGCUAGUUGGUAAGGUAAUGGCUUACAAAGGCAAUGAUACGUAGCCGAACUGAGAGGUUGAUCGGCCACAUUGGGACUGAGACACGGCCCAGGCUCCUACGGGAGGCAGCAGUAGGGAAUCUUCCACAAUGGACGAAAGUCUGAUGGAGCAACGCCGCGUGAGUGAAGAAGGUUUUCGGAUCGUAAAACUCUGUUGUCAGAGAAGAACGUGUGCGAGAGUAACUGUUCGUGCAGUGACGGUAUCUGGCCAGAAAGCCACGGCUAACUACGUGCCAGCCGCCGCAGUAA
rnacentral:rRNA from 1 species